rnacentral:misc_RNA from 1 species
CGGGACUCGCAAGACUCCUACAACCCUGUGAACUUAACUAUAAGCACGUUGCUUCGGCGGGUGUCUCGGCGAGGGUCCUCCCUCCCCGGGGCGCUAAGCCCGCCGGCAGCCUACUAUACUCUGUCUCUUUGCGUUGGCAUCUCGAGUACAAUCAAACAAGUUA